rnacentral:tRNA from 1 species
GUAGUUAUGGCCGAGUGAUUAAGGUGAUGGGCUAGAAAUCCAUUGCGGUCUCUCAGCGUGGAUUUGAGUCCUACUGACUAUG